AUGACAGGUAGCGGGUUUGAGAGGAUGAUCCGCCACACUGGUACUGAGACACGGACCAGACUCCUACGGGAGGCAGCAGUGAGGAAUAUUGCACAAUGGGGGAAACCCUGAUGCAGCAACGCCGCGUGGAGGAUGACGCAUUUCGGUGUGUAAACUCCUUUUAUAUGUCAAGAAAAUGACGGUAGCAUAUGAAUAAGCACCGGCUAACUCCGUGCCAGCAGCCGCGGUAAUACGGAGGGUGCAAGCGUUAUUCGGAAUCACUGGGCGUAAAGGACGCGUAGGCGGGCUUGUAAGUCAGGUGUGAAAUCCUACAGCUUAACUGUAGAACUGCACUUGAAACUACUGGCCUAGAGUAUGGGAGGGGGAGAUGGAAUUAGUGGUGUAGGGGUAAAAUCCGUAGAUAUCACUAGGAAUACCUAAAGCGAAGGCGAUCUCCUGGAACAUAACUGACGCUAAGGCGUGAAAGCGUGGGGAGCAAACAGGAUUAGAUACCCUGGUAGUCCACGCCCUAAACGAUGNGCACAUAGUCGUCGNGNGGCACUAGUUGCNUUNCGGUGAUGCACUUAACAGAUUAAGUGNUCCGCCUGGGGAGUACGGUCGCAAGAUUAAAACUCAAAGGAAUAGACGGGGACCCGCACAAGUGGUGGAGCAUGUGGUUUAAUUCGAAGAUACGCGAAGAACCUUACCUAGCCUUGACAUUGAUAGAACACCCUAGAGAUAGAGUGGUGCCCUUUUGGGAGCUUGAAAACAGGUGCUGCACGGCUGUCGUCAGCUCGUGUCGUGAGAUGUUGGGUUAAGUCCCGCAACGAGCGCAACCCUCGUCCUUAGUUGCCAGCAGUUCGGCUGGGCACUCUAAGGAGACUGCCUUCGCAAGGAGGAGGAAGGUGAGGACGACGUCAAGUCAUCAUGGCCCUUAUGGCUAGGGCUACACACGUGCUACAAUGGGGCGUACAGAGAGUUGCGAUACCGCGAGGUGGAGCCAAUCUCAUAAAGCGUCUCUCAGUUCGGAUUGAAGUCUGCAACUCGACUUCAUGAAGCUGGAAUCACUAGUAAUCGUAGAUCAGCAAUGCUACGGUGAAUACGUUCCCGGGUCUUGUACUCACCGCC
rnacentral:rRNA from 1 species